rnacentral:tRNA from 1 species
GGCGCGGGGGUGCAGUGGGUAGCACUGUCGCCUCGCAGGAAGAAGGUCCUGGGUUUGAAUCCCAGUCUGGGCCU